rnacentral:tRNA from 2 species
AGGGCAGUGGCUCAAUUGGCAGAGCACCGGUCUCCAAAACCGGCGGUUGAGGGUUCGAGUCCCUCCUGCCCUGCGA